UGGGGAAUAUUGCACAAUGGGCGCAAGCCUGAUGCAGCCAUGCCGCGUGUAUGAAGAAGGCCUUCGGGUUGUAAAGUACUUUCAGCGGGGAGGAAGGUGUUGAGGCUAAUAACCUCAGCAAUUGACGUUACCCGCAGAAGAAGCACCGGCUAACUCCGUGCCAGCAGCCGCGGUAAUACGGAGGGUGCAAGCGUUAAUCGGAAUUACUGGGCGUAAAGCGCACGCAGGCGGUCUGUCAAGUCGGAUGUGAAAUCGCCGGGCUCAACCUGGGAACUGCAUUCGAAACUGGCAGGCUAGAGUCUUGUAGAGGGGGGUAGAAUUCCAGGUGUAGCGGUGAAAUGCGUAGAGAUCUGGAGGAAUACCGGUGGCGAAGGCGGCCCCCUGGACAAAGACUGACGCUCAGGUGCGAAAGCGUGGGGAGCAAACA
rnacentral:rRNA from 1 species